rnacentral:misc_RNA from 1 species
AAGGAGUCUAACAUAUCUGCGAGUAUUUGGGUGUCAAACCCGAGUGCGCAAUGAAAGUGAACUUAGGAGCGAUCCGCAGGGUGCACCUUCGACCGACCUGGAUCUUUAGUGAUGGAUUUGAGUAAGAGCAUAUAUGUUGGGACCCGAAAGAUGGUGAACUAUGCCUGAAUAGGGCGAAGCCAGGGGAAACUCUGGUGGAGGCUCGUAGAGAUUCUGACGUGCAAAUCGCUUGUCAGAUUUGGGUAUAGGGGCGAAAGACUAAUCGAACCAUCUAGUAGCUGGUUCCUGC